GUUAUCGCUGGAAACUACGAGCCUAGCUUAAAACCAAAGGACUUGGCGGUGCUUUAGACCCACCUAGAGGAGCCUGUUCUAUAACCGAUAACCCCCGUUUAACCUCACCUUUCCUAGUCACCCCCGCCUAUAUACCGCCGUCGCCAGCUUACCCUAUGAAGGCCCCUAGUAAGCAUAAUUGGUACAACCCAAAACGUCAGGUCGAGGUGUAGCGUAUGGAAAGGGAAGAAAUGGGCUACAUUCCCUAUUAUAGCGAAUCACGGAUAAUAAUACUGAACGUGUAUCUAGAGGAGGAUUUAGCAGUAAUUAAAACA
rnacentral:rRNA from 1 species